UACGUAGGAUGCAAGCGUUGUCCGGAAUUAUUGGGCGUAAAGGGCGCGUAGGCGGUGCGGUAAGUCACCUGUGAAAUCUCCUGGCUCAACUGGGAGCUUGCAGGCGAAACUGCCGUGCUGGAGUGUGGGAGAGGUGCGUGGAAUUCCUGGUGUAGCGGUGAAAUGCGUAGAUAUCAGGAGGAACACCUGUGGCGAAAGCGGCGCACUGGACCACAACUGACGCUGAGGCGCGAAAGCUAGGGGAGCAAACAGG
rnacentral:rRNA from 1 species